CUCAAAAUACACAUCCUCCAAGACUUCCUCCCUUCCCUCCUCCUGUCCAAAAGAAUUCCUCCUGCUAAAUCUAGGCUUCCCUGAUUUUGCAUUUCUAAAGUAAAACAGGUUUUUUCUCCCGUAUAAAAAAGUAAGUCUUAACAGUAUAACAGUAAAAACAGGUACAAGCCCAGUGUUUUUUAAAUACUUUCUUUUGCAAGUCAAUGGCAGAGUCACCAAUAGAAUCUGGGUCUGCUGGUUUCUAGUCCAGUGCCUUAGUCACUGGGCCAGUAAUGUAGAGAUAACAUUUCAUGCACCUAAGAAGUAAACAGGCAGUGCGUUUACAUUCAUGAAAACUGGAUCUCAGCCAGCUGUGGUUGAAAUGCUGCAGAGGACUUUGGAGGUAAGGGAAAGAGAACAAAAGAAAAUAUAAAACGAGCAAGCAGGAUGGACGGCCAAAAGAUCAGGGUGAUCCAACAAAAGGGCCUGAGAGCAAAGGGGCAAAAACAGCCUGGCAUAUCCCUCAGCAAAAUAGCCAGGAAGUUGGAGCUCACCAGGAUGAAGCUGACAGCAGAAAAGGAACAAGAGCACCAGAGGUGAGCAGCUGCAGAGAGAGCCAAAGAGCAAGAGUCAGAGAGAUUAGCCCAAGAAGCUGUACAUGAGGGAGCCAUGGAGACGGAAGAGCAAAAACACGAGGAGAGUGAACAUGUACACAGGCUGCUGGAGAUGCAGAUACAAAACCCAGUAAGCAGUCCUCUCCAAAGAUCACAGAACUGGGGCAAAUUGUGACCUAAUUACAAGGAAACUCGCUGCAUUGAGGAAUUCUGACCACCUUGGAAAUGAUCUGCAGUGUACAGAACAUCGCUGAGGACCAGAGAAUGACUGUUGUGUUCUCCAAGCUGAUGGGGAAAGCAUUACAAGUGUUUAAUGAUAUGGAUAAAUGAAAAAUGCCUUAUUAUCGGUGGAUGCCUUAUUAUCGGGGAGGUCUUAUUAUCGGGGGGAUGCCUUAUAUUACAACGAGAGGCAAAACUGUAAGUAGGCCUUAUUUUCGGAGGAUGUCUUAUUUUCGGGGAAACAGGGUAGUGGAAGAUGCCUUGUCCAGGCAAGAGAGUUAUGGCCAGACAACUAUGGAUCAGCCAGUGGCUAACCCCACUACAUCAACAUAAGGGGGGAGGUGUGACCCAAGAAUCCCUUAAUGCCAACUGGCAAGGGGACUACAGGAACAUCUUGAUAUUAGUAUGUCCACUCUGGUUCACCAAAAAAUGUCAAGUGAGGUCUUAAAUGAAAGCCAGGGUCACACUGGUCAUUAAUAUCACUGUGAAAUGUAUUUAAGGAAUUAUGUGUAUGUACCGAAAACAUGUCCUUAGAUUUUGUAUCAAGACAUGAGUCACCAGCAGAGGUGAAGAAACAGGUUUUCUGCCAGACAAGAGAUGUUUAUUCACCUUUCUCUGUCAUAUGUAAAUUAAGCACUGCAAGCCAGCAUUGUUAUUGAAGAGAUGUGAAAUCAACAGGGCAGCAGCAUACAAGAACAAGAAGCCACGGGGGCUCACACUGUCUCAGAGUACACACAAGGAACUUUGAGGCUAUAACUAGAAAGCAAAGAAAACACUGCAGCUAGAAAAUAAACACACUGCCGGUUUACAUUAAUGAAAAUGGGAUCCCAGCCAACCUUGGCUGAAAUGCUGCAGAGGACUUUGGGGAUGAGAGAAACUUCUUUAGACAGGAGGUAAGCCUGUUAGUUAAGUUUGGUCUCUAGAAAGUGUGUCAUGAUUUUGUUUUAUGUAACCACUUGUUUCCAAUAUUCUUGUUCUCUAUUGCUUGAAUCUGUGAGAAUAAAUGUA